AGCCGCUUUUUUCAUUCCGGAAGGGUGCGCGACAUGAGAGGAUCUUAUUGAUUAUUAGUGUGACAUUUGGUUGUGACUGGUCCCCUUGGUCCAUUGUGCACAAUUCUUCUCUAACUCGUGUGACAUGUGUGUGCCUGGGGCAUCUAGAGAGAAGACAAUUUGCUAUUUCUCUAUAGCGAUCCUUGGAACCCUCUGUUUCUCUGACUUGAUCUCUCUGAGGCCCUUUCCUUGCUAAAUGUCUGGAUGUAACACAUCUAAUACAACUUGGUUGCACCGGAUCUGGUGGCUCUCGCAUCGAUGAUUUCGACAACGGAUCUCUUGAUUCUCGUGAAUAUGAAAAUUGCAUGAAUCAUCGAAUCUUAAUGCGAACCUUGCAAUUCUUGGAAUUCCUUAAUCUUUGCCUGUUCUUGCUCUUGAUGGAUUCAAAGAAAAAACGUUUGUUAGAUCGCUUGGAUAUCCUCCACCCUUGGCGGUUUUUUGUGAAAUCACACCUGCUCCUCUUGUCUGGAUAGCUGCCUCUGCCUGCGCUGCUUGGUUAGGUUCGCGUGAUAAAUUAUCUAUCCUUAAGGACUUUGUAUCCGCCUCUCUGUUUGGCAGGAGAUGACCCCGCUUCCGUUUUUCUCUUGGCAUGGACUGAAUCUUUUAUUGCCAGAUCUCCUAUCGGGUAAGAGUACGCGUGGAUCUGCAUGUUAUCCAAACUCGCAUCAGAGGAACCUACCAAUUACUCCUCUGGUCUCAGCUAGUGAAGGAUCAACAGCUCAAAUUUAAAAUCUGGCUAUGUAUUCUGAACCGAGUUGUAGACUGAAUCCCCUACAAACGGGCAGCAACAUGUAAAAAUCUCUAGUAAGAAAGCUGCCUACAUGGGGAUACUCGUUCCUUCUCAAGACUGUUUUCGUUUGUCUGUGGUACAAACCACUUGAAUCGUUCGUAUACAGCUCGAAUGCCCGUAUAUUCCAUCUAAUCCUAAUAUUGGUGAAAAACCUCAACAAUCAGUACUUUGGGAUAAUAGUAAAGCGUUUGGAAACUACGUUUAUGGUACUGACUUGUGAAACGGAAACCCAUAA
rnacentral:rRNA from 1 species